rnacentral:rRNA from 1 species
UACGGCGGGUGCAAACGUUGCUCGGAAUCAUUGGGCGUAAAGCGCACGUAGGCGGUGCAGUAAGUCGGAUGUGAAAGCCCUCGGCUCAACCGAGGAAGUGCAUUCGAAACUGCUGUGCUUGAGUACGGAAGAGGGUCUCGGAAUUCCCGGCGUAGAGGUGAAAUUCGUAGAUAUCGGGAGGAACACCAGUGGCGAAGGCGGAGACCUGGGCCGAUACUGACGCUGAGGUGCGAAAGCGUGGGGAGCAAACAGG